rnacentral:lncRNA from 1 species
AUGAUGUCCAUCCAGCUCUGGGUCACCACUGCCCCCGGGGCUCAUGGGGGAUCAGGCUUCAUUGGGUGCUUUCAUCCUCAUCAGCACCACAUGGCUCUUCUUUCUACAGCUGUACACCACCAGUGCCACGAGGGCACAGAGCAGAGCCACGCACACCAGCACGAUGACAGCCCCAACCACCGCGCUCUGCGUGCGCGUCAGCCCCCACCACCCUCUGCCUUCCUCCUCCUCUUCCUCCUCCCGAGACACAGGGGUGACCGGCAGCGUGGUGGGGAACCCCGACGGCAAUGCUUCCUGGGAGGGGCGGGCAGGCAGCGGGCUGCUGGGCCGGGCAGUGGGUGGCUGGUCCUGCCACAGCUUGGCAAUGGGUGUUCCCCGCAGCGGGGCCGGCUGGGCGCACACCGGGGGGGUCUCACCCACCUUGCUGGGGUUCGCCUCCAGCCAGGCACGCAGGGGCAGGAUGGCCUGAUCGCAACGCCACGAGUUGUUGUGCAGCUUCACCUCCCGCACGGCAGACAGCGGGGAGAAGAUGCCUGCGGGCAGGCUCUCCAAGGUAUUGGCUUGCAGCUGGAUGUGCUGCAGCCUCGGAGUGGCAGCGAAGAGGCCACGAGGCAGCGUCUGCAGGCGGUUGUUCUGCAGGGAGAUGUUCUGCAGCUUGGGCAUUCCCCCCAGCGCCCCAGCGUCCAGCCGAUGCAGGGCGUUGGAGUGCAGCGAGAGCUCCAGCAGCUCACCCAGCCCACGGAAAGCCCCCGGAGCCAGGGAUCGGAGCUGGUUCUUGCUGAGCACCAGGAGCUGCAGCUGGGUGAGGUUGCUGAAGACAGCGGCGGGGAGAGCAGCCAGCUCGUUCUCAUAGAGCCACAGCUCCCGCAGGUUGGGCAUGGGGCCGAAGGCAGCCGGGGAGAUGUCGCGCAGGCGGUUGACGUGCAGGGUGAUCUUGGAGAGGGCACGCAGCGGCAGGAAGAUACCGGCAGGCAGGGCAGUGAGGAGGUUGUUGGAGAGGUAGAGCUUCUGCAGGUUCCCGUUGUGCACAAAGAGCUCCGGGGACAGCAUCUCCAGCUGGUUCUGGUGCAGGCCCAGCUCCUGCAGCUCGGGUAG